UUUUAUUACCUUUUUUGCUGACUAUAUGGCCAUCUUUACCAAAUAAAGUGUUCCAAACCGAAAACAAGUUUUUACCAGUACUAAUGUUGAGGCUAAACAAAAACUACAAAAAGCAAGGUAUAAAAGACGCGCUCCUCGUAAUGUAGCCUCAUAGUGCAGCAAACAAUCAAAAUGAGAUACAAACCAGCGUUGUUAGUAUUUGUACUAGUUUUAAAAGUGACAUUGUCAUACCCCAGUGGAGUCAAGGUUGAGGAUGGGGAGACAAAACGUAAGUUUGAUGAUAAUUUCAAAUUAUCUAAGGAAGAUUCUGCAAAGCCAGCACCACCAGCAAAUGACGGAGACGCUGAUAAAACGAGUGACGUAUCAGAUGACGAAGUAAGGGAUUGCUCACCAGUUAUAGUACACAACACAUGUCCUGACGGUUUGGUGCGAGUGGGUAAUGUUUGUUUAAGUCCAGAUAAAUAAAUAUUUACUUGACAACAUUGUUUUAUUACCUGUUUUGCUGAUCAUAUAACAGAAAACAAGUUUUUACCACCUACUAAUGUUGAGGCUAAACAAAAACUUUACAAAAAGCAAGGUAUAAAAGACGCGCUCCUCGUAAUGUAGCUUCAUAGUGCAGAUAGCAAUCAAAAUGAGAUACAUACCAGCGUUGUUAGUAUUUGUACUAGUUUUAAAAGUGACAUUUUCGUAUCCCGCUGGAGACAAGGUCGAGAAUGACAAGACGGAAUUCAAGUUUGAUAAUGAAGCUAAACUUUCCAAUGAAGAUUCUGGAAAGCAAGCAUCACCAGCUAACAUUGAAGACGGUAAAGGGGCCCUAGCAGAGCCAUAUUUUGUAGAGCACGCUAUAUAUUUCAAAGACAAUAUAUGUCCUGACGGUCAGGUGCGAAUUAAGAAUGAAUGUGUGAAACCAGAUGAAUAAUUUGUUUAACAAUUAUGGCACCUAUUAUUCCUUUGUUAUUACAAUUAUGUGGAAUACAUUAUUAUAACGAUGUUUUCUUAUGAAAUGACGCAAUAAACAUUAUGCAUCUUGAGGUAAAUUAUAUUCGUCUUUAUCAUUAUGUUGCAGUUUAAUAACGUCGGAAUAAUUCAACGAUAUUUGGAUCAUAAAAUUACAUAAUAUCUGUAGAUAAUGUUUACACAAAAAUAGAAUAUAAUAUUUCUAAGCUC